GCUGCCUCAGCCUUUCCCCGCACGCCUCCACGUCCCGGGCUGGGCUGCAGGACGGGCAGAGCCCCGCGGGCAGCAGCCGAAGCCCUGCCCGCCCACAGGCGCCCAGCACUCGCAGCCCGGGCCAGCCCCCGAGCGGCCCCGGGGCGGAGCUGGCGGCGCCGGGCGGCGGCGGCGGGGAGGAGGCGCCGCGGGCGGAGCAGAGCCGGGGCUGGCGGGGGCAGCGCGGCGCGGGCGGCGGAGCGGCGGGAUGCGGCAGGGCCGGGCCGCAGGGCUGGCGGCGCUGGCCGCGGUGCUCCUGGUGGCUGCAGGCAGAGCCCAGGUGCAGCAGGAGCCAUGGGCACAGACCACCGAGGGCACCGGCAUCAACAUCGCCUGCUCACAUCCCAACAUCCAGUCAAACGACUACAUCUACUGAGCCUUCCCCCUUGCCCAGGGAAGAGGUGAAGGAUAACCAGACUGGCAGAGAAUGUUGGACAUCUGGGUCUAGGUGCCUUUGUUUGUGCAUGGUCAUAUGUCCGUCCAGACCGCCCCUAGGGAAGAAGAGGACAAGGGCAGCAGAAGGCAUCUCUUCUCCAUUGACAGCAGAGGUCAUGCACAGAAGGACACCAUGCUGCAGUUUCCAGAAGAAACCACCAUUCAGGUGGGACACAAUGCAACUCUGCACUGCAAUUUCUCCACCAGCUUCUCUACUUUCUCCAUCAUCUGGUAUCAGCAGCACCUGAAUCAGUCCCCUCAGUUCUUGUUGUUGGUGAGCACGUACAAGUUUCGUGAGGGUUCUCCUCUGUGCUCUCCAUGGAGAACUCCCAGGUGCUUCUCCACGUGCAAGAUGCCAAGCUCCAGGACAGCGCUGUCUACCUGUGUGCACUGAGCCCACACUGGUGCCUUCAGCUUGCAGCUUUAUACAGGAAGGUGCAGGUGCUGUGAAGAGCAGCUCCCUCUCACUAGUGUUCACAUGGAGCUCUGAGUUGAGCCUGCCUAGCAAGGACACAUGGGGCUUGUCAUGGGGCUGGCUAUCUCCCUCCAUGGCCUGUGUAACAGGGACAAGUACUAUUAAGAACAUGCUGUAUUAUCUUUUGCAGCUGUGUCUAUGUCCAGGGUCAUGGGGAAGGAAUCAAUAAGGCCAGAAAAGAGCUGUUGAGAGCUGCUACAUGAGCUCAUGAAACUACCUGGGACUGGGAGUCAGUAUUAAGACACAUCUACUAACCUGCUUCCCACUGCCUACACUGACGACCGCUGUUGGGGAAUGGGGCUCUUCUUGAGAGAUAUGAUUGCUCUUGUGGUUUUACCUGCCAGGCAAAACAGCCUAGGGAGGGAAACUCCUUUCUCAGCCCUACAUCUAGGCAUCAGCUAAACCCUCAGCAAGUGAAAAGCCUUCAUCAGCUGGAGACUGGGGAAGACUUUCUGUUCACUGCAGAGAGGUAUCUCACUCCUUUUCAUACCAUCCUUCUGCUCUGGAGCAUCACCAGUGAAUGUCUAGAGAUGUUUCUGUGUCCCUGCAUCUGUGCUAGAUUCUCUGCCCAUCACAAAACUGCUGGUCAUCCCAAACCUCAAGACUUGUUUGUCCAUCUGCACACAGUACUCUUUACAUGCUGUCUGUUUGGUGGCACAGUGAACUGUCCCUUGAGAGCAGCUCUGGUGGAAGCCAACAUAACGAGCCAUGGUGACUUAAAUGUGACCUUAGUUGGAUUUUGCUCACAAUGGAAGGAAAUAUUUAAGUGUUUGAAAUGAGGCCUUCCAACGUGACACACAAAGUUCCAUCUUUGGGCUAAGGGGAACAGGGGAAGGAUGUGUCUCAAGGAGGGACAAGGUGGAGCAAAUAGGAGGGAUGCAAGAAGGAGGCAAUUGAAAGAGAUAGCCUUUGCCUGUGGUAACAGGAAGGUAUGUGGCUAGCCCCAGUCCCACUGCUGGAUGGAUCAAGAAAGUUGUGGUUUGGGUGUCAGCAGAAAGAUGUAUUUUAUACUGUUCUCAUGCUUGAGAAUUACCCAUGUGAAAGAGGGUUCUGCAUUUUGUGAGAAAAGGACAACAGGAAGACCAGAUAAUAAAUGUGCUUGAAGAUGGGGGCAAUGCUAACUCAUUCCAAAAUUACAUUAUAAAUGUUGUUCUUUUUUUUUUUUUCUUUUUUUUUUUUUUUCCUCCUCCCCAUCAUCCAUCAGAUACUGAUUGCACAUUAGGCUAAUCCUUCUCCCUUCCUUCACAGUGGUAUCUCCCUGGAUGUGCUGAAAAGUGAAUGUCAGGACUUAGCAUUGCUGAAGAUUCACAGUAAAGACUUUUUUCCUAGUAUUUGGUUUGAACAUCCCCUGGUGCAGCUUUAUACCAUUCAUGUAACAUUCAUUGGUUGCCAGGGAGAAGAGACGUUCCUCUCCAUUUCCCCUCCCAAGGAAGCUGUAAGAGAGCAAUGAGGUUGCCUCUUAGCCUCCUUUCCUCUGUACGAGAUUACCCAAGUGUCCUCAGCCUCUCCCCAUUGGACAUGCCUUCCAGCCUGUUUAUCAGUUUUAUUGCUCUCCUCUGGACACCUUCAAGUAUCUUAAUAUCGUUUUUAUGUUGUGGUUCCCAGAAGUGCACACACUAUUACAGAUGAGACUACACCAAUGAUAAAUAUAGUGGGAGAGUCACCUCUUUUGACUGACUGGCUAAGUGGUAUUUGAUGCACCCAAAAAAUAAUAUUUUACCUUCUUGGAUGCCAGGGCACACUGCUGACUCAUAUUAAGCCUGCUCUCAACCAGCACUCCCAGACACCUUUCUGCAGGGCUACUCUCAAGACUCUCAUCUGUCAGUCUGUACUUGCAUCUGGAAUUACUCCAUGUCAUGUGCAGAACCCAGCAUUUGCUCUUGUCAAAUUUCAUGCUGAUGAUGAUGGCUCAGUGCUUAAAUCAAUAAAGAUCUCUUUGCAAGGCCUCCCUCCAGA